UCCCGUUAAGACUGGCAGCCGGCCCCAC
rnacentral:piRNA from 1 species